CGGGUGAGUAAUGCCUAGGAAUCUGCCUGGUAGUGGGGGACAACGUUUCGAAAGGAACGCUAGUACCGCAUACGUCCUACGGGAGAAAGCAGGGGACCUUCGGGCCUUGCGCUAUCAGAUGAGCCUAGGUCGGAUUAGCUAGUUGGUGAGGUAAUGGCUCACCAAGGCGACGAUCCGUAACUGGUCUGAGAGGAUGAUCAGUCACACUGGAACUGAGACACGGUCCAGACUCCUACGGGAGGCAGCAGGC
rnacentral:rRNA from 1 species